GGAUUGUGCCUCAGUGGUAGAGCGCUCACCUAGCACGUGCGAGGCCCUGGUUUAAUCCUCAGCACCA
rnacentral:tRNA from 1 species